UGUUGUGCGGCUUAGUUGGUUAAAGCAUUGGUCUAGGGAAUACGGAGACGUGGGUUCGAAUCCCUCCAGAACGU
rnacentral:tRNA from 1 species